CAGGCCUAACACAUGCAAGUCGAACGAGACCUUCGGGUCUAGUGGCGCACGGGUGCGUAACGCGUGGGAAUCUGCCCUUGGGUUCGGAAUAACAGCGAGAAAUUGCUGCUAAUACCGGAUGAUGACGUAAGUCCAAAGAUUUAUCGCCCAGGGAUGAGCCCGCGUAGGAUUAGCUAGUUGGUGGGGUAAAGGCCUACCAAGGCGACGAUCCGUAGCUGGUCUGAGAGGAUGAUCAGCCACACUGGGACUGAGACACGGCCCAGACUCCUACGGGAGGCAGCAGUGGGGAAUAUUGGACAAUGGGCGCAAGCCUGAUCCAGCCAUGCCGCGUGAGUGAUGAAGGCCUUAGGGUUGUAAAGCUCUUUUAUCCGGGACGAUAAUGACGGUACCGGAGGAAUAAGCCCCGGCUAACUUCGUGCCAGCAGCCGCGGUAAU
rnacentral:rRNA from 1 species